rnacentral:rRNA from 1 species
AUUGAACGCUGGCGGCAGGCCUAACACAUGCAAGUCGAGCGGGGUUUUCGGACCUAGCGGCGGACGGGUGAGUAAUGCGUAGGAAGCUACCCGAUAGAGGGGGAUACCAGUUGGAAACGACUGUUAAUACCGCAUAAUGUCUACGGACCAAAGUGUGGGACCUUCGGGCCACAUGCUAUCGGAUGCGCCUACGUGGGAUUAGCUAGUUGGUGAGGUAAUGGCUCACCAAGGCGACGAUCCCUAGCUGGUUUGAGAGGAUAAUCAGCCACACUGGAACUGAGACACGGUCCAGACUCCUACGGGAGGCAGCAGUGGGGAAUAUUGGACAAUGGGCGCAAGCCUGAUCCAGCCAUGCCGCGUGUGUGAAGAAGGCCUUCGGGUUGUAGAGCACUUUCAGUAGGGAGGAAGCGUUGUGUGUUAAUAGUACACAGCGUUGACGUUACCUACAGAAGAAGCACCGGCUAACUCUGUGCCAGCCGCCGCAGUAAAAC